rnacentral:tRNA from 1 species
GAGGGUAUGGCUCAGUGGCAGAGCUUGUGCUCAGCAUGCAUGAAGUCCUGGGUUCAAUCUCCAGUACAUCUA